AGGUUAACCGUAUAGGGGAGCCGAAGGGAAACCGAGUCUUAACUGGGCGUUAAGUUGCAGGGUAUAGACCCGAAACCCGGUGAUCUAGCCAUGGGCAGGUUGAAGGUUGGGUAACACUAACUGGAGGACCGAACCGACUAAUGUUGAAAAAUUAGCGGAUGACCUGUGGCUGGGGGUGAAAGGCCAAUCAAACCGGGAGAUAGCUGGUUCUCCCCGAAAGCUAUUUAGGUAGCGCCUCGUGAACUCAUCUUCGGGGGUAGAGCACUGUUUCGGCUAGGGGGCCAUCCCGGCUUACCAACCCGAUGCAAACUACGAAUACCGAAGAAUGUUAUCACGGGAGACACACGGCGGGUGCUAACGUCCGUCGUGAAGAGGGAAACAACCCAGACCGCCAGCUAAGGUCCCAAAGUCAUGGUUAAGUGGGAAACGAUGUGGGAAGGCACAGACAGCCAGGAUGUUGGCUUAGAAGCAGCCAUCAUUUAAAGAAAGCGUAAUAGCUCACUGGUCGAGUCGGCCUGCGCGGAAGAUGUAACGGGGCUAAACCAUGCACCGAAGCUGCGGCAGCGACGCUUAUGCGUUGUUGGGUAGGGGAGCGUUCUGUAAGCCGUUGAAGGUGUGCUGUGAGGCAUGCUGGAGGUAUCAGAAGUGCGAAUGCUGACAUAAGUAACGAUAAAGCGGGUGAAAAGCCCGCUCGCCGGAAGACCAAGGGUUCCUGUCCAACGUUAAUCGGGGCAGGGUGAGUCGACCCCUAAGGCGAGGCCGAAAGGCGUAGUCGAUGGGAAACAGGUUAAUAUUCCUGUACUUGGUGUUACUGCGAAGGGGGGACGGAGAAGGCUAUGUCAGCCGGGCGACGGUUGUCCCGGUUUAAGCAUGUAGGCGGAGGUUCCAGGUAAAUCCGGUACCUUAUUAACGCUGAGGUGUGAUGACGAGGCACUACGGUGCUGAAGUGAUAAAUGCCCUGCUUCCAGGAAAAGCCUCUAAGCAUCAGGUAACACGAAAUCGUACCCCAAACCGACACAGGUGGUCAGGUAGAGAAUACCAAGGCGCUUGAGAGAACUCGGGUGAAGGAACUAGGCAAAAUGGUGCCGUAACUUCGGGAGAAGGCACGCUGAUGUGUAGGUGAAGCCCCUGCGGGCGGAGCUGAAAUCAGUCGAAGAUACCAGCUGGCUGCAACUGUUUAUUAAAAACACAGCACUGUGCAAACACGAAAGUGGACGUAUACGGUGUGACGCCUGCCCGGUGCCGGAAGGUUAAUUGAUGGGGUUAGCGGCAACGCGAAGCUCUUGAUCGAAGCCCCGGUAAACGGCGGCCGUAACUAUAACGGUCCUAAGGUAGCGAAAUUCCUUGUCGGGUAAGUUCCGACCUGCACGAAUGGCGUAAUGAUGGCCAGGCUGUCUCCACCCGAGACUCAGUGAAAUUGAACUCGCUGUGAAGAUGCAGUGUACCCGCGGCAAGACGGAAAGACCCCGUGAACCUUUACUAUAGCUUGACACUGAACACUGGUCCUUGAUGUGUAGGAUAGGUGGGAGGCUUUGAAGCGUGGACGCCAGUCUGCGUGGAGCCAACCUUGAAAUACCACCCUUUAAUGGCUGGUGUUCUAACGUGGACCCGUAAUCCGGGUUGCGGACAGUGUCUGGUGGGUAGUUUGACUGGGGCGGUCUCCUCCCAAAGAGUAACGGAGGAGCACGAAGGUUGGCUAAUCCUGGUCGGACAUCAGGAGGUUAGUGCAAUGGCAUAAGCCAGCUUGACUGCGAGCGUGACGGCGCGAGCAGGUGCGAAAGCAGGUCAUAGUGAUCCGGUGGUUCUGAAUGGAAGGGCCAUCGCUCAACGGAUAAAAGGUACUCCGGGGAUAACAGGCUGAUACCGCCCAAGAGUUCAUAUCGACGGCGGUGUUUGGCACCUCGAUGUCGGCUCAUCACAUCCUGGGGCUGAAGUAGGUCCCAAGGGUAUGGCUGUUCGCCAUUUAAAGUGGUACGCGAGCUGGGUUUAGAACGUCGUGAGACAGUUCGGUCCCUAUCUGCCGUGGGCGCUGGAGAAUUGAGGGGGGCUGCUCCUAGUACGAGAGGACCGGAGUGGACGCAUCACUGGUGUUCGGGUUGUCAUGCCAAUGGCACUGCCCGGUAGCUAAAUGCGGAAGAGAUAAGUGCUGAAAGCAUCUAAGCACGAAACUUGCCCCGAGAUGAGUUCU
rnacentral:rRNA from 1 species